rnacentral:rRNA from 1 species
CAAUAGCGUAUAUUUAAGUUGUUGCAGUUAAAAAGCUCGUAGUUGGAUUUCGGAUGGGAUUUGCCGGUCCGUCGUUACGAUGUGCACUGGCCAGUCCUAUCUUGUUGUCGGGGACUAGCUCCUUGGAUUCACUUCCUGGGACUAGGAGCUGACGAGGUUACUUUGAGUAAAUUAGAGUGUUCAAAGCAAGCCUACGCUCUGAAUACAUUAGCAUGGAAUAACACGAUAGGACUCUGGCUUAUCUUGUUGGUCUGUGAGACCAGAGUAAUGAUUAAGAGGGACAGUCGGGGACAUUCGUAUUUCAUUGUCAGAGGUGAAAUUCUUGGAUUUAUGAAAGACGAACUUCUGCGAAAGCAUUUGCCAAGGAUGUUUNCAUUAA